ACCCAAAAACACAAAGUUUUGGUCCUAAACUUGCCGUUGUUUUUUAUCAAAAUUACACAUGCAAGCCUCCACAUACCAGUGAAAAUGCCCUUAAACACCCUCAUUAGUCAAAAGGAGCAGGCAUCAGGAUCACCAAGUACCAUUGCCAAAGACGCCUUGCUUUGCCACACCCCCACGGGCCUUCAGCAGUGAAUAAUAUUAAGACAUGAGCGAAAGCUCGACUUAGUUAUGAUAUUUAUGGCCGGUAAAUUUCGUGCCAGCCACCGCGGUUAUACGAAAGACCAAAAACAACGGCCCUGCGGCGUAAAGAGUGACCAGGGGAUAAGUUAUACAAUUAAAGAAAACCUCUGACAAAGUUGUAAAACACUUCUGCCAAUUGGAACAACAACCAAGAGUCUUUAAAGCAACAGACUACCUCUCUUCACGAAAGCUGGGAGACAAACUGGGAUUAGAUACCCCACUAUGCCCAACCAUUAACAUAGACAACAAAACACAAUGUUGUCCGCCAGAGAACUACGAGCGAAAAACUUAAAACUCCAAGGACUUGGCGGUACCCCACACCGACCUAGAGGAGCCUGUCCUAUAAUCGAUACCCCACGUUUUACCCAACCACCCCUUGCAGCCCAGCCUAUAUACCGCCGUCGCCAGCCUACCUUAUGAAAGAAGCAAAGUAGGCAUAAUAGUCUACAACUAACACGUCAGGUCAAGGUGUAGCAUAUGGGGUGGAAGAGAUGGGCUACAUUUUCUAACUCAGAAUACUACGAACAGUAUAGUGAAACACAUACUCGAAGGUGGAUUUAGCAGUAAGAUAGACAAGAAACUCUACCUUAAACACGCUCUGGGGUGCGCACACACCGCCCGUCACCCUCAUCG
rnacentral:ncRNA from 1 species